rnacentral:rRNA from 1 species
CACUCCUGCGGGAGGCAGCAGUGGGGAAUUUUGGACAAUGGGGGCAACCCUGAUCCAGCAAUGCCGCGUGAGUGAAGAAGGCCUUCGGGUUGUAAAGCUCUUUUGUCAGGGAAGAAACGGUGGUGGCGAAUAACUACUACUAAUGACGGUGCCUGAAGAAUAAGCACCGGCUAACUACGUGCCAGCAGCCGCGGUAAUACGUAGGGUGCAAGCGUUAAUCGGAAUUACUGGGCGUAAAGCGUGCGCAGGCGGUUGUGUAAGUCAGAUGUGAAAUCCCCGGGCUCAACCUGGGAAUUGCAUUUGAGACUGCACGGCUAGAGUGUGUCAGAGGGGGGUAGAAUUCCACGUGUAGCAGUGAAAUGCGUAGAUAUGUGGAGGAAUACCGAUGGCGAAGGCAGCCCCCUGGGAUAACACUGACGCUCAUGCACGAAAGCGUGGGGAGCAAACAGGAUUAGAAACCCGAGUAGUCCCAUGA